UCUCUAGACAGAGCACAGGAAUUUUCUGGUUUCAUCAGCCUCAGUGGUUAACCCCACUUCAACACCUGAAGGACCCACUGAACACCCGUGUUUGAGUCCAGCCGCCCCCUCCCACCUGUGAGGCACGAGUAGCUCACAGGCUCCAUCCAGUCCUGCGGAGAAGAGGCACAGAGAGGCCCUCAGGCUGCUGAUCAGAAGAGCCCUGCACAGGCUGGGUGCAGACGGCCACUGCCACUUGCUUCAAGGUGGAUUCCCCAGACACUGACAAAACAGGCUCUGCUAAAUUAUCUGCUAUUGCUCACCAAGCUUGUUGCUCCAACUCCUUGAAAAGCAGAAGGCAUAUAGAGAACUUCAACAUGACCCAGAUUUUACAUUCGCAAGUCUCUCCAUCCCCGCGUGACGCUGUCAUCGCUGUGGAACAGGAUGGAGUUGGUGUACGGGCCGCCGUCCUCCGGGAGGAUGGUGGUGUAGGACGUGAACUUCACCCG
rnacentral:lncRNA from 1 species